rnacentral:rRNA from 1 species
CAGUAGCCGCGGUAAUACAGAGGGUGCGAGCGUUAAUUGGAUUUACUGGGCGUAAAGCGUGCGUAGGCGGCUUUUUAAGUCGGAUGUGAAAUCCCUGAGCUUAACUUAGGAAUUGCAUUCGAUACUGGGAAGCUAGAGUAUGGGAGAGGAUGGUAGAAUUCCAGGUGUAGCGGUGAAAUGCGUAGAGAUCUGGAGGAAUACCGAUGGCGAAGGCAGCCAUCUGGCCUAAUACUGACGCUGAGGUACGAAAGCAUGGGGAGCAAACAGGAUUAGAUACCCCUGUAGUCCCUGUCUCUUAUAC